rnacentral:rRNA from 1 species
CAGGGUGACAGCCCCGUACACAAAAAUGCACAUGCUGUGAGCUCGAUGAGUAGGGCGGGACACGUGGUAUCCUGUCUGAAUAUGGGGGGACCAUCCUCCAAGGCUAAAUACUCCUGACUGACCGAUAGUGAACCAGUACCGUGAGGGAAAGGCGAAAAGAACCCCGGCGAGGGGAGUGAAAAAGAACCUGAAACCGUGUACGUACAAGCAGUGGGAGCACGCUUAGGCGUGUGACUGCGUACCUUUUGUAUAAUGGGUCAGCGACUUAUAUUCUGUAGCAAGGUUAACCGAAUAGGGGAGCCGAAGGGAAACCGAGUCUUAACUGGGCGUUAAGUUGCAGGGUAUAGACCCGAAACCCGGUGAUCUAGCCAUGGGCAGGUUGAAGGUUGGGUAACACUAACUGGAGGACCGAACCGACUAAUGUUGAAAAAUUAGCGGAUGACUUGUGGCUGGGGGUGAAAGGCCAAUCAAACCGGGAGAUAGCUGGUUCUCCCCGAAAGCUAUUUAGGUAGCGCCUCGUGAAUUCAUCUCCGGGGGUAGAGCACUGUUUCGGCAAGGGGGUCAUCCCGACUUACCAACCCGAUGCAAACUGCGAAUACCGGAGAAUGUUAUCACGGGAGACACACGGCGGGUGCUAACGUCCGUCGUGAAGAGGGAAACAACCCAGACCGCCAGCUAAGGUCCCAAAGUCAUGGUUAAGUGGGAAACGAUGUGGGAAGGCCCAGACAGCCAGGAUGUUGGCUUAGAAGCAGCCAUCAUUUAAAGAAAGCGUAAUAGCUCACUGGUCGAGUCGGCCUGCGCGGAAGAUGUAACGGGGCUAAACCAUGCACCGAAGCUGCGGCAGCGACACUAUGUGUUGUUGGGUAGGGGAGCGUUCUGUAAGCCUGUGAAGGUGUGCUGUGAGG